CAUAGUUAGGAAGUGCAGCUCCAGGCUGACUCCUGAAGGAACUGCUCCCCUCUGGGGUGGAGAUCACUGGAGCCCAGGCACUGUGCAGCAGGAGUUAGAGCUGCUCUGACCUACUCCCACCCCUGGAGCCCAGGAUGACUAAAUGCCAACUUUGAAAACAAGGGAGCUGAGGCUAAGGCUCUAAGCAGGAGUGAGAUGUUUCUCAGAUGCCAGAGGGCUGGGAAUGUGCCAUCCUUCCACUGCAAACUGGCUGCAGCCCCAAGCGUUCCUCCCAUCCCACCAUUCUCACCACAGCCAUCAGGCAAGGUGAGAUCCCAGUCCUGAGGAAAACAGCUGGGAGAGAGGCUCUUCGGUGUUGCUGCUGC